rnacentral:rRNA from 1 species
GGAAGUAAAAGUCGUAACAAGGUCUCCGUUGGUGAACCAGCGGAGGGAUCAUUACCGAGUUUUCAACUCCCCAACCCUUACGUGAACCUACCUAUCGUUGCUUCGGCGGACUCGCCCCAGCCCGGACGCGGGCUGGGCCAGCGGUCCGCCGGGGGCCCUAAACUCCUGUAUUCUUAGCACCUUCUGAGUACGCCGCAAGGCAAAAAACGAAUCAAAACUUUCAACAACGGAUCUCUUGGCUCUGGCAUCGAUGAAGAACGCAGCGAAAUGCGAUACGUAAUGUGAAUUGCAGAAUCCAGUGAAUCAUCGAAUCUUUGAACGCACAUUGCGCCCGCCAGCACUCUGGCGGGCAUGCCUGUUCGAGCGUCAUUUCAACCCUCGACCUCCCCCCGGGGCGGUCGGCGUUGGGGAUCGGCAGCACACCGCCGGCCCUGAAAUGCAUCGGCGGCGCGUCCGCGGCGACCUCUGCGAAGUAUCCAGCUCGCACCGGGAACCCGACGCGCUACUGCCGCAAAACGUCUGGACGCCGACCUCGAAUCAGGUAGGACUACCCGCUGAACUUAAGCAUA